rnacentral:rRNA from 1 species
UACGUAGGGUGCAAGCGUUAAUCGGAAUUACUGGGCGUAAAGCGUGCGCAGGCGGUUUUGUAAGUCUGUCGUGAAAUCCCCGGGCUCAACCUGGGAAUUGCGAUGGAGACUGCAAGGCUAGAAUCUGGCAGAGGGGGGUAGAAUUCCAGGUGUAGCAGUGAAAUGCGUAGAGAUCUGGAGGAACACCGAUGGCGAAGGCAGCCCCCUGGGCUGACACUGACGCUCAUGCACGAAAGCGUGGGGAGCAAACAGG